ensembl:snRNA U6 U6 spliceosomal RNA
GUAGCUUUCUGCUAAGUCUUCAAAAGUGUGCUUCAGAUACAGAGAAGAUUAGCAUGGCCCCUCACAAGGAUGACACACAAAUUUGUGAAUUGUUUCGUAUUAUU